CUCAGAUUGAACGCUGGCGGCAGGCCUAACACAUGCAAGUCGAGCGGUAGCACAGAGAGCUUGCUCUCGGGUGACGAGCGGCGGACGGGUGAGUAAUGUCUGGGAAACUGCCUGAUGGAGGGGGAUAACUACUGGAAACGGUAGCUAAUACCGCAUAAUGUCGCAAGACCAAAGUGGGGGACCUUCGGGCCUCAUGCCAUCAGAUGUGCCCAGAUGGGAUUAGCUAGUAGGUGGGGUAACGGCUCACCUAGGCGACGAUCCCUAGCUGGUCUGAGAGGAUGACCAGCCACACUGGAACUGAGACACGGUCCAGACUCCUACGGGAGGCAGCAGUGGGGAAUAUUGCACAAUGGGCGCAAGCCUGAUGCAGCCAUGCCGCGUGUGUGAAGAAGGCCUUCGGGUUGUAAAGCACUUUCAGCGGGGAGGAAGGCGAUAAGGUUAAUAACCUUGUCGAUUGACGUUACCCGCAGAAGAAGCACCGGCUAACUCCGUGCCAGCAGCCGCGGUAAUACGGAGGGUGCAAGCGUUAAUCGGAAUUACUGGGCGUAAAGCGCACGCAGGCGGUCUGUCAAGUCGGAUGUGAAAUCCCCGGGCUCAACCUGGGAACUGCAUUCGAAACUGGCAGGCUAGAGUCUUGUAGAGGGGGGUAGAAUUCCAGGUGUAGCGGUGAAAUGCGUAGAGAUCUGGAGGAAUACCGGUGGCGAAGGCGGCCCCCUGGACAAAGACUGACGCUCAGGUGCGAAAGCGUGGGGAGCAAACAGGAUUAGAUACCCUGGUAGUCCACGCCGUAAACGAUGUCGAUUUGGAGGUUGUGCCCUUGAGGCGUGGCUUCCGGAGCUAACGCGUUAAAUCGACCGCCUGGGGAGUACGGCCGCAAGGUUAAAACUCAAAUGAAUUGACGGGGGCCCGCACAAGCGGUGGAGCAUGUGGUUUAAUUCGAUGCAACGCGAAGAACCUUACCUGGUCUUGACAUCCACAGAACUUUCCAGAGAUGGAUUGGUGCCUUCGGGAACUGUGAGACAGGUGCUGCAUGGCUGUCGUCAGCUCGUGUUGUGAAAUGUUGGGUUAAGUCCCGCAACGAGCGCAACCCUUAUCCUUUGUUGCCAGCGGUUCGGCCGGGAACUCAAAGGAGACUGCCAGUGAUAAACUGGAGGAAGGUGGGGAUGACGUCAAGUCAUCAUGGCCCUUACGACCAGGGCUACACACGUGCUACAAUGGCAUAUACAAAGAGAAGCGACCUCGCGAGAGCAAGCGGACCUCAUAAAGUAUGUCGUAGUCCGGAUUGGAGUCUGCAACUCGACUCCAUGAAGUCGGAAUCGCUAGUAAUCGUAGAUCAGAAUGCUACGGUGAAUACGUUCCCGGGCCUUGUACACACCGCCCGUCACACCAUGGGAGUGGGUUGCAAAAGAAGUAGGUAGCUUAACCUUCGGGAGGGCGCUUACCACUUUGUGAUUCAUGACUGGGGUGAAGUCGUAACAAGGUAACCGUAGGGGAACCUGCGGCUGGAUCACCUCCUU
rnacentral:rRNA from 1 species